GGCGAUUGCUAUGACGCUGACAUUAAUCCCAGCUCUAUGAGGCCUUAAAUUAAGGUCUUGGAUUAAACUUUGUUUCCAACACAUAUAUCUGAGCUUCGCC